UUGGUUCCAUUUUGUCUGGUAGAGAACUCUAUCAGUUGGAAACUCUGUGUAACAUGGAGCAGAACUCUUUGGAUCAUCACAGACAUGGCAUACAAGGCUUGCUGCCUGGACUGAGUGAGGAACGGGAGGUGCUCUUCAGAGACUGCCUUGAAAAGUCUUGGGGAAGAGACAGACUCCAUCCCAAUACAUUCAUCUCGGCUAUAUAUUUUUGAAGACAACUUGUUUUAAUUAUUUACAGUUCUGAAGAUCGAACUCGGGACCUUGUGCUUGCAAGGCAGGAAAUGGCAUUACUCAGCUAAAUCUCCGCCCCAAUGAUGCUUUUCUUAAAAUGAGAACAAAUCCAAAUCUCAAGGUCUUAUCUUGUACUGAGACCAGUUUUUACAUUUCAAUGACCUAAGGACCUGGAAUGUUAAUGAUCUUACUGAACUGCUCCUGAAGAAUCCCCAUCAAUGGACCUGACUUCAGUUGGAUUGAUAGAUUACUUCUCACCACUCAGAAACCAGAAAUACAGAGACGAAGCAAUGAGCAGGAGGUUAGAGUAUAAUGGAUCCAAGUUUCACAAAGUGCAGGUUCACAGUAAAUCCACUUCAGAGAGGAAGGCUGGGGAAAACCCACCGAUGGGCCUCGAAAGCUGAGCGAUUCCUGAUAUGACGCACCGAGCUGCAGCAGUGCCACAAGAGCAUAACUGAAUCGCAUCCUGAGGAAACACCAGUCAAACUGAACUUAGGGACAUUCAGCGACGGUCCCGAGCCCUUCAAAGAUCUCCGUGUCACAAAACGCAGAGUCCCGGGAUCUGUUCCUAAUUAAAAGAUACUAACAAAACAGAACAACUGGCAGGAUUUUCUCUUGCUACGAGGACAUUUUGGGACAAACAACUGGGAAAUCUGAGCAAAAUGUGUAGAGUAUUUUAUGGCUGUUAAUUUCCUGAUUUCAGUGAUUGGACUGGGACGAGGCAAGAGAUUUCUUCAUGUUAGGAGACACACGCAGAAGGAGUUAGUGUAAAGGUGCAUCUGAUCCUCAUUGGACAAAUGGCUCAGACAAAAAAAAAAAAAUCUGGGAAGUGCCAAAUAAGGACUUCCUGUGUUUCCUUAUUUAUCUGCCGCUCAGUGGGCUUUGUGCAAAGGAUGGGUGGGAGUGAGGAGCAGCCUCCACACAGCUGUUCAGGGAUGUCUGCAAAAGCAGCCCACCCACAUUGCUUUUGGACACUGGGUGUGAUUUGGAGGGUAUCAGGUUUGUCUGUGAGGGAAACUGCCAGCCUCCUCCCUGGCCAACUGGUUUCUGUGUUUCCUUGCUGGCCCUCUGAAUAGAAAAGUCCUUUUCCUCAGGAUAUCCCCCAGAAGCAUCUUUUUCUUCACAGUGGAAUCUAAGACAUUAGUUUAACUACAGUUUUCUCUUUGAUGAAUUCUAGGACCUGCAAAAAUGUAGAGGUUAAAUCUGAUGAACCACAUGGCUAAGCUUACGAUGUAUUUGCUUUUUCAUUGAAUUAAAACAAAAAAUUGGUUGCUUUCCAGUACGCUUAAUUUCCA